GUUCAUGAGCAUAUACGGACACUUGACAGGUCUCAUGGAGCUCACAGCCUGUGACUGGAGUUUGAAGGCUGAGCCUUCUGCCAAAGAAAACUCGUUGAUGCCCGCAAACCAGUCAGCAGGGGAGGAGGCUGCCCUGGAAUGUCGGAGGGGGGUCACCAAGCUGUUUGUGAGCAGGCCAGCAGAGAAAUAUCUUUUCCUCUUCCAGGCAUCCCCAGACUUCCUUUUGCUGCAUCUUCAUAAGAAGUGC